rnacentral:lncRNA from 1 species
UUCAGAAAUGCAGAGUACUUGACAGGAAACACUCGUCUUAUGUAGACUUCAAGUCAGUCUUCAAGCAACCUAUGUGUAGGCUAUUUAACAAACUGAUCAUAUGAGACUUUUCCUCAGUUGCAUAUGAAAUCUAUGUUUGCACAAGUAAGUGAACAAGAUUGUUGAAUUCUGUUUUCAUUUUUUACUUAUAGCAGGUAUACCUUAAACUGCAGCAUUUGCAUAUUUAUUUUAGAAGGUCGAGCAGAAAUGAUUAUAUCCAACACCUGAAGAGUAUUUUUGUAUGGUCUUUCUUUAUAGUGAUUAUAUUUCUACUGCCUUUGAUAAUGGUCUUCAUGAAAAAUCUCCUAAGGACUGCAGUUCGGAAGACAAUGGAGCAGUGACUCGCACAGCGCUGGUUGAGUAUAAAUCGAGUUCAGCCACACAAGGGAAGAUGAAAAUGAGAAUGCCAGGAAACUUGCAUCCAUCCCCCUUUCCUAUGACUAUGCCGGCUGCCAAAGUGCUGACCAAAGUUGAAAGGUCAGCAGUCAUCUGUGGCAGAUGUGCUUCAUCCUGAUAAACACUUGGUUGCUGGAAACAGUUCUGUUCACAGAUAGCUUAUAAUUCAGCAAUGAUUGAAAAGAAAAGCCACCUAUAUCCUCUUGCUAAAUUUCCCUUGAGAAGAAUGAGUAAAGUGAGCUGUGUAGCCUUGGAACCAUGGAAGAGAUUUCCUGUGUAAUGUUCACAGUUUUGGCAAGGUAAUUAUUAUGACCCCACAACUUCUGAUAAAAUUUCUGGAAAAAUGGAAAUUAUAAUGCUAGCUCUGAUGUGCUGACUCAGAUACAGCCGGAUCAGUUUAAGAAGGCAAAACAAUAUAGAUUUUCAUUUAUUCCCCAACUGAUAUUUCUUGAGCACUACUAUGUGCUCUUUGCUCAAGGAUGGAGAUAUGAUUAAUAUGUGGCCUCAGUGCCCAAAGACUUAAUAAUCGAGCAUCUUUGGUUGUGCUGGUUAUAGUAGUGAUAGGUAGUGGGUGAUGAUUGGUGAUAAUUUUGGUUUGUGCUGGGGAAGAAUUAUUGGGAAGAAAAUGUAUCACCUGGGACCUGUACCUAUAUCACCUGGAAAAUCU